rnacentral:rRNA from 1 species
GACGAACGCUGGCGGCGGGCUUAACACAUGCAAGUCGAACGGAAAGGGCCUGCUUGUGUGUGGUUCUCGAGUGGCGAACGGGUGAGUAACACGGGAGUAACCUGCCCUGGACUUGGGGAUAACUUCAGGAAACUGGUGCUAAUACCUGAUAGGAGCUCCUGCUGCAUGGGGGGGGUUGGAAAUUUUCGGCGGUUGGGGAUGGACUCGGGGCUUAUCAGCUUGUUGGUGGGGUAGUGGCUUACCAAGGCUUUGACGGGUAGCCGGCAUGAGAGGGUGACCGGCCACCUUGGGACUGAGAUACGGACCAGUCUCCUACGGGAGGCAGCAGUGGGGAAUCUUGCACAAUGGGCGGAAGCCUGAUGCAGAAGCGCCGCGUGCGGGAUGACGGCUUUCGGGUUGUAAACCGCUUUAGCCUGUGACGAAGCGUGAGUGACGGUAAUGGGUAAAGAAGCACCGGCUAACUACGUG